CAGCUCGGGUGGGGAGAUGUUGGGUUAAGUCCCGAAACGAGCGCAACCCUCGCCUCUAGUUGCCAGGCAUUCGGUUGGGCACUCUAGAGGGACUGCCGGCGACAAGUCGGAGGAAGGUGGGGAUGACGUCAAAUCAUCAUGCCCCUUAUGACCUGGGCUACACACGUGCUACAAUGGGCGGUACAAAGGGCUGCGAACCCGCGAGGGGGAGCGAAUCCCAAAAAGCCGCUCUCAGUUCGGAUUGCAGGCUGCAACUCGCCUGCAUGAAGCCGGAAUCGCUAGUAAUCGCGGAUCAGCAUGCCGCGGUGAAUACGUUCCCGGGCCUUGUACACACCGCCCGUCACACCACGAGAGCUUGCAACACCCGAAGUCGGUGAGGUAACCCKWACGGGAGCCAGCCGCCGAAGGUGGGGCAAGUGAUUGGGGUGAAGUCGUAACAAGGUAGCCGUACCGGAAGGUGCGGCUGGAUCACCUCCUUUCUAA
rnacentral:rRNA from 1 species